rnacentral:rRNA from 1 species
UUGAUACUGUAGAGCUAGGAUUAGGUUGCUGUGGGCGGAAUGUGUGGUGUAGCGGUGAAAUGCUUAGAGAUCACACAGAAUAUCGAUUGCGAAGGCAGCUCACAAAGCCUAAAUUGACGCUGAGGCACGAAAGUGUGGGGAUCGAACAGGAUUAGAUACCCUGGUAGUCCACACUGUAAACGAUGAUAACUCGCUGUCGGCGAUAUACAGUCGGUGGCCAAGCGAAAGCGAUAAGUUAUCCACCUGGGGAGUACGACCGCAAGGUUGAAACUCAAAGGAAUUGACGGGGGCCCGCACAAGCGGAGGAACAUGUGGUUUAAUUCGAUGAUACGCGAGGAACCUUACCCGGGCUCGAACGGUGCAUGAAUGUCAGAGAGAUUUGACAGUCCUUCGGGACAUGUAUCGAGGUGCUGCAUGGUUGUCGUCAGCUCGUGCCGUGAGGUGUCGGCUUAAGUGCCGUAACGAGCGCAAC